rnacentral:rRNA from 1 species
GGAGAGUUUGAUCCUGGCUCAGGAUGAACGCUAGCGGCAGGCUUAACACAUGCAAGUCGAGGGGCAGCAUAAUGGAUAGCAAUAUCUAUGGUGGCGACCGGCGCACGGGUGCGUAACGCGUAUGCAACCUACCUUUAACAGGGGGAUAACACUGAGAAAUUGGUACUAAUACCCCAUAAUAUCAUAGAAGGCAUCUUUUAUGGUUGAAAAUUCCGAUGGUUAGAGAUGGGCAUGCGUUGUAUUAGCUAGUUGGUGGGGUAACGGCUCACCAAGGCGACGAUACAUAGGGGGACUGAGAGGUUAACCCCCCACACUGGUACUGAGACACGGACCAGACUCCUACGGGAGGCAGCAGUGAGGAAUAUUGGUCAAUGGACGCAAGUCUGAACCAGCCAUGCCGCGUGCAGGAUGACGGCUCUAUGAGUUGUAAACUGCUUUUGUACGAGGGUAAACGCAGAUACGUGUAUCUGUCUGAAAGUAUCGUACGAAUAAGGAUCGGCUAACUCCGUGCCAGCAGCCGCGGUAAUACGGAGGAUUCAAGCGUUAUCCGGAUUUAUUGGGUUUAAAGGGUGCGUAGGCGGUUUGAUAAGUUAGAGGUGAAAUUUCGGGGCUCAACCCUGAACGUGCCUCUAAUACUGUUGAGCUAGAGAGUAGUUGCGGUAGGCGGAAUGUAUGGUGUAGCGGUGAAAUGCUUAGAGAUCAUACAGAACACCGAUUGCGAAGGCAGCUUACCAAACUAUAUCUGACGUUGAGGCACGAAAGCGUGGGGAGCAAACAGGAUUAGAUACCCUGGUAGUCCACGCAGUAAACGAUGAUAACUCGUUGUCGGCGAUACACAGUCGGUGACUAAGCGAAAGCGAUAAGUUAUCCACCUGGGGAGUACGUUCGCAAGAAUGAAACUCAAAGGAAUUGACGGGGGCCCGCACAAGCGGAGGAACAUGUGGUUUAAUUCGAUGAUACGCGAGGAACCUUACCCGGGCUUGAAAGUUAGCGACGAUUCUUGAAAGAGGAUUUCCCUUCGGGGCGCGAAACUAGGUGCUGCAUGGUUGUCGUCAGCUCGUGCCGUGAGGUGUCGGGUUAAGUCCCAUAACGAGCGCAACCCCUACCGUUAGUUGCCAUCAGGUGAAGCUGGGCACUCUGGCGGGACUGCCGGUGUAAGCCGAGAGGAAGGUGGGGAUGACGUCAAAUCAGCACGGCCCUUACGUCCGGGGCUACACACGUG